UACAGAGGUCUCAAGCGUUGCUCGGAAUCACUGGGCGUAAAGGGUGCGUAGGCGGGUCUUUUAAGUCGAGGGGUGAAAUCCUGGAGCUCAACUCCAGAACUGCCUUUGAUACUGGGGAUCUGGAGUCCGGGAGAGGUGAGCGGAACUGCGAGUGUAGAGGUGAAAUUCGUAGAUAUUCGGAAGAACACCAGUGGCGAAGGCGGCUGACUGGACAUGUAUUGACGCUGAGGUGCGAAAGCGUGGGGAGCAAACAGG
rnacentral:rRNA from 1 species